GACGAACGCUGGCGGCGUGCUUAACACAUGCAAGUCGAACGGAAAGGCCCUGCUUUUGUGGGGUGCUCGAGUGGCGAACGGGUGAGUAACACGUGAGUAACCUGCCCUUGACUUUGGGAUAACUUCAGGAAACUGGGGCUAAUACCGGAUAGGAGCUCCUGCUGCAUGGUGGGGGUUGGAAAGUUUCGGCGGUUGGGGAUGGACUCGCGGCUUAUCAGCUUGUUGGUGGGGUAGUGGCUUACCAAGGCUUUGACGGGUAGCCGGCCUGAGAGGGUGACCGGCCACAAUGGGACCGAGGUUACGCCCCAACUCCUGAGGGAGGCAAGCGUGGGGAAUUAUUCCACAUGGGGCGAAGGCCUAUGCAGGCACGGCGGGGGGCGGAAGAAGGCCUUCGGGUUGUAAACCGCUUUUGCCUGUUACCAAGCCUGAGGUGCGGUAAUUGGUAAAGAAGCACCGGCUAACUACGUG
rnacentral:rRNA from 1 species